rnacentral:rRNA from 1 species
UGAGGAAUAUUGGUCAAUGGGCGAGAGCCUGAACCAGCCAAGUAGCGUGCAGGAUGACGGCCCUAUGGGUUGUAAACUGCUUUUAUAUGGGAAUAAAGUGAGGGACGUGUCCCUUAUUGCAUGUACCAUACGAAUAAGGACCGGCUAAUUCCGUGCCAGCAGCCGCGGUAAUACGGAAGGUCCAGGCGUUAUCCGGAUUUAUUUGGUUUAAAGGGAGCGUAGGCUGUUUGUUAAGCGUGUUGUGAAAUGUAAGAGCUCAACUUUUAGAUUGCAGCGCGGACUGGCAGACUUGAGUGCGCACAACGUAGGCGGAAUUCAUGGUGUAGCGGUGAAAUGCUUAGAUAUCAUGACGAACUCCGAUUGCGAAGGCAGCUUACGGGAGCGCAACUGACGCUAAAGCUCGAAGGUGCGGGUAUCGAACAGG